UAUACGUUUAAAAUAAGUAAACACUAAAAGUGCACACUGACAGUUGAUUACGAUACAUCUAACAAUUUGAGUCAUUACAGUAAAACAUGGAUUAUAAGUGAAUUAUACGCGUAAGAGAAGAUUUUCUGUCGAAAAAACUAAUGUCAACAAUCAGCAUGGAAUUGGGAUAUUCGUAUCAAAGGGCUAUUCAUGCAGGAAAAGGACUGAAUAUUACUAUUAUAUGAAGAAUUCCAGCCUGCAUUAAAUACUUUGUUGGAUCAUUGAGACAGAUUUGACAUCCAUGUCUAUCCACAUCUGAUAGAGAUGAUCACUAAACAUUCUAGAUGGGUAAAGACCUGUUAAAUCAGCAUUGACUCAUCAUUGAGUAAUUUUCAUCUGUGCAGACACUACAAGUACAAACGCAUGGGAACAAACCAAAC